AAAUUUUUGACUUCUCGAAUUCAAAAUAGAGAUUCGAAUCUUCGAAAGCCACACUUACUUUUAAUACAGAAGCCGCAAUUUCUACGCCUCUUUUUCGCAAAAGCCCCAAAUUCUGAGCUUCUUCCAGCAGCAAAUCUUGGCUUGUGGAAUGGUCAGAGAACAGCACUCUUAAUGGGAACAGAAAUGGUCAAGAGGUCGGCUGACGGGCGAAAACUCGACUUCAAAAGCUUCUGCUUCUAGCUACAGCAAAAAAAACUGGAUAUUAAUCAAAACAUAAAACAAUUCUAGAUCAGCUACAGGCGAAAACUCGACUUAAAAAGGUUCUGCUUCUAGUUACAGCAAAAAGAACUGGAUAUUAAUCGAAACAUAAAACAAUUCUAGAUCAGCUACAGGCGAAAACUCGACUUAAAAAGCUUCUGCUUCUAGUUACAGCAAAAAGAACUGGAUAUUAAUCGAAACAUAAAACGAUUCAAGAUCAGCUACAGACGAAAACUCGACUUAAAAAGC
rnacentral:lncRNA from 1 species